rnacentral:rRNA from 1 species
CCUACGGGUGGCAGCAGUAGGGAAUCUUUCACAAUGGGCGAAAGCCUGAUGGAGCAACGCCGCGUGCAGGAUGAAGGCCUUCGGGUUGUAAACUGUUUUUAUAAGCGAGACAUAUGAUGGUACCUUAUGAAUAAGGAUCGGCUAACUACGUGCCAGCAGCCGCGGUCAUACGUAGGAUCCGAGCAUUAUCCGGAGUGACUGGGUGUAAAGAGUUGCGUAGGUGGCAUAAUAAGUAGCUAGUGAAAUCUGGUGGCUCAACCAUUCAGACUAUUAGCUAAACUGUUAAGCUCGAGACCGUUAGGGGUAACUGGAAUGUCUAGUGUAGGAGUGAAAUCCGUAGAUAUUAGAAGGAACACCAAUAGCGUAGGCAGGUUGCUGGGACGGUUCUGACACUAAGGCACGAAAGCGUAGGGAGCAAACGGGAUUAGAUACCCUUGUAGUC